UCUGGGUUUAUCCCAGCGGUCUCGUUAGAAAGGUGUAACUAACGACGGGGGUUGCGCUCGUUGCGGGACUUAACCCAACACCUCACGGCACGAGCUGACGACAGCCAUGCAGCAUCUGUGCACGCUACCCUUGCGGGUUCGUUACGCUUUCACGCUCCUACUACGUGCAUGUCAAGGCCAGGUAAGGUUCUUCGCGUUGCAUCGAAUUAAGCCACAUACUCCACCGCUUGUGCAGGCCCCCGUCAAUUCCUUUGAGUUUUAAUCUUGCGACCGUACUCCCCAGGCGGCACGUUUAUCGCGUUAGCUUCGCCACAAGAGGGGUCGACUCCUCUUACAGCAAACGUGCACCGUUUACAGCUAGGACUAC
rnacentral:misc_RNA from 1 species